AGCUCCAAUAGCGUAUAUUAAAGUUGUUGCAGUUAAAAGCUCGUAGUUGGAUUUCUGGGCUGGCCGGACGGUCCACCUCACGGUGAGAACUGGCUGGUCGGCUCUUCCUCUCGAAGUCUGGUGGUGCUCUUAACUGGGUGCUGCUGGAAUUCGGGACCUUUACUUUGAAAAAUUAGAGUGUUCAAAGCAGGCCUUCGCUUGAAUACAUUAGCAUGGAAUAAUGGAAUAGGACUUUGGUUCUAUUUUGUUGGUUUCUAGGACCGAAGUAAUGAUUAAUAGGGACAGUUGGGGGCAUUAGUAUUUAAUUGUCAGAGGUGAAAUUCUUGGAUUUAUGAAAGACUAACUACUGCGAAAGCAUUUGCCAAGGAUGUUUUCA
rnacentral:rRNA from 1 species